ACAGUUCCAGUGGCACAACAAUCAAACCCAUGAUAAUCACCAAUUUCACUUCAGCCUGAGCAUCAGCACCCAAUUGUUCUUCAAUUUCACGGUAAACAGCAGCAGAUCAACGUCUUCUUCUUCGUCAUCAAGAAAUUCACUCAAAACCCUUACCAAAACUCGUUUGCUUGCUGCAAUAAUCAAAUUCGAACCAAAUCCACUCUCUGCCUCUUCUCAAACUCUCCAAAUCUCUUUAUUUGUCCUAUGUUGAAGCUCAACUUGAAUUCUUCAAUCUUCCAUAUCUCAGGAUCUAUUCACACCGUGAACCAUGGCUUGCCGACAUCAGUAGGACUGGUAGAAAUUGACGUUUAAUCUCAUAUUAGUUGGGACUUUUACACCCUAGUCCAGGCUCCUCAGGCCUAGUACUCGUAAGUCCAAAAAAACACCGAUUUGACAGUUUGGUCCAGAAUUUUAUCGAGUUAGUCCAAACCAGUACCAAUUCAAGAAAAUUCGGUACCAGAAUUACCCUUCCUUACAAGAGAGUCAUAGAUAUGAACGAGUUUUCUUUAUUUUAGAUCUCAGAUUUAGAAUUUGGAGAAACUGACUGAGAGAGAAACCGAGAGUGAUUUUGAGCGAUAACAAAAUAUCGGUGGAAAUUCAAGGAGAUAAUGUUUCAGAGAUUUCGUUUGUUAACUUUUCUUCGGAAUUGAAAGAUGAAUUUCAAAUCGCUGGAGUAAAAUAAGAUGAAAUUAGAGCGUCGGAGACGUCAACAUACUCAGAAGUAUCGAGAGAUUAUUAUAAUGUUCAAGUGGAAUUCUCCAAUUCAGAAUCAACAACGAAUCGAAAACCUAAUGACAUUGAAUCUGACUGUAAAUUCUCUUGUUCUGAAGAUUAUCCGUAUGGUGAUGAAAAAUCAGAUGAUUUCUCGCAUUUUCGUCAAUACUCAAUGCAAUUCUCCAAAUUAAGCUCUGUUGUAUCUCAUCUUAAAGUCGCCUCACAAAUCCACCAGCAAGAUUCCGAUGAAUACACUUUUUUUGAAAUUCGAAAAUGAAAAUCAUAAAGAUAGUUACAAGAAGCUCAGGAGUAGAGGGAGGAGUCAUGCGAUUCGUAACGGCUACUCGAAAGACUACUACUCAACAACAACAUACGGCAACCUUGUUCUUCAACAGAGACAUUCCAUGGUUAACAAAAUAAUCAAUGUGAUGGAGCAUGCGUCAAAUAAGAUGUGGCAUUAUAUUUAAUUAAAAUGUGUUGGUUCUGAAAUUUUGGUUGUAACACAAGAAGAUUUUGAGAUGUUGGUGGCCAAAGUAACGAAGAAGGGAACAUAUAAGAACAGGUCACUCAGAGUGUGAAAGUUGAAAUUAUAGUCAUCAAAGCUCAGAUUUAGGACUCUUCGGGUCAAGGCACCAUAGGCGAUAGGUUGACGAGAAAUUGGUAACUAAAGGUACUAAGAGCUUGAGUUCACCAAGAAGAUACUCUUUCAAGAUGCAAAAGAUUACCAUGCCUGGUCCCACCAACAGUGGGUGCUUCAGGACUUGGGCUGUUGGGAAGGUGAACUUGGUUACUGUCACCAUCUCUUUGGAGGCCUUCAGACAAUGUGCAUAAGGUUGUCAGUGACGGAAUUCAAGCUCUUAAUUUUGCAACUUUAGCCACUACGAUGAAGCAUUUAUUGGAAUGUCAAAGCGGUCUUACAUGGAGGUGGUAAUGAACGGCUUAAACUCCAACGACUCAGUUGAUGUUGGUCUGAUUGCUGCAUUAGCGUUUCAAUUUCAGCUUUGAAAAAAUUGAAAUUUGAUAAGCAACUCGCAAUGGAGAACGCAUGAAAGACAAUUAUUGAAGCAGAUUGUUACUAAUUACAUCUUAUCGCCCUGAACAAGGAUUCGAUGUCUCAUUGAAUCUUCGUUACAGGUCAUGCAGAGGUACAGUUGAUGCAACAUGCAGUACUUUAACUCACUGCCUAUAUUCCCUGUUAAACAAAGUUGUAUACACUAGUGUAAAUUAACAUUUUUCAAAAAUGAGAAUUAUAGUCAUAUGGGUA